rnacentral:tRNA from 1 species
UCUCGAAUAGUAUAGUGGUCAGUAUUUCGGCUUGUCAAUCACCACGAUCAACAGCGCCGGAGGCCGGGGUUCGAUUCCCCGUUCGAGAG